GGGCUCGUAGUUCAAUGGAUAGAAUAGGGACCUCCUAAGUCUUAGAUGCAGGUUCGAUUCCUGCCGAGCCUACCA
rnacentral:tRNA from 1 species